GCUAUUUUUGUCAUUUUGUAAUUGACUAAUGGCAAAUUAACUUCAAUUUAGACAAAAUGACUAAUCUGUAAACAGUAUGAAAUCAUAGGGAUGUUCAUGUUUCAAAUUGAAACGUGGGGAUUUAGUUGUGGACCUCAAGGGCCAAAUUUUAAUUUACCCUUUAUCUUUUAUUGGAAGAAAAAAAAGAGCACCCUUUUGCAAUUGUUAAAUUGACUUCUAAUUGAAUCUAACUCACAAUGGGGGCAUUAGAGAUAACAACCUAUGCCGUUUCUUUUGCACUAAAAAAUAUUUAAAUUAAUUUUCAGUAGAACAAUAAACAGAAUGUUUUUAAAUAUAAUAUUUAUGUAUCAUUAUAAAUUUCACUUUUCAUAAAUUACUACACAAUUAGAUAUCCGUACGCUAAAAACUACGUGUAUAUCUACUACAACUACAUCAUGUUGAG
rnacentral:misc_RNA from 1 species